rnacentral:rRNA from 1 species
GGAUCAAGGAAUCGGUCAUGCCUCGGUAUGUACUGGUUUUAUUGGUUCUCACCUUCUAAAGAACCAUAAUGUCAUUUAUUUGAUGUUAUGGGGAAUUAGGACUGUUACUUUGAAAAAAUUAGAGUGUUUAAAGCAGGCUCACGCUUGAAUACAUUAGCAUGGAAUAAUGAAAUAGGACGUUUGAUUCUAUUUUGUUGGUUUCUAGGACCGCCGUA